rnacentral:lncRNA from 1 species
GAACAACAUCCUUAGAACCCAUGCGGAUAUAGUUUUCAUAUAAUUCAUCCCCUUGACCAAAAUGAUCUUAGGAUAUCCCAGAGUUCAACUGUCAACUCUGAUCAGGUUGUCCACAUUGUAUUUCAAAAUAUCAAAUCCAUCUGAUAGAUUACCCUGGCCAAGGUUUUGCUAAAUUGAAAUACAGCGACUCAUUCUUCUCCAACUCUUGGAGUGGUCAAUCCCAU